GAUUGUUUGGGCAGUGAAGAUAGAUUGCUCAAUUGCUCCUACGAUUCUUACACCGGAGAUUGUGGACAUCAACAUGAUAUUGGUGUCUAUUGUUCCUUUGAAUGUCCAAAAUCAGGCACUUUGCGUCUUCUUGAAGGUUCAAAUAAAAAUGAAGGACGACUCGAGGUGUAUAUCCAAGAUACAUGGGGAACUGUUUGUGUCAAUAAUUUUGACACUAUUGAUGCUACAAUAGCAUGUCAACAACUUGGAUAUUGUUCUGGAAACGCUGUGCUGCCAAAUUUGGUAAAUGACGGAACUGGUACUAUCUGGUUGGCUGGCCUUCUUUGUUCUGGUAUUGAAAGCAGAUUAGUGAACUGUCGACAACUUGAUUCCGUUAUUCAGAACUGCAGAUCAUACCAUGAUGUCGGAGUCAGUUGCUCUUUAAAUUGUCCAU